GAUGAACGCUAGCUACAGGCUUAACACAUGCAAGUCGAGGGGCAGCAUGGUCUUAGCUUGCUAGGACUGAUGGCGACCGGCGCACGGGUGAGUAACACGUAUCCAACCUGCCGUCUACUCUUGGACAGCCUUCUGAAAGGAAGAUUAAUACAAGAUGGCAUCAUGAGUCCGCAUGUUCACAUGAUUAAAGGUAUUCCGGUAGACGAUGGGGAUGCGUUCCAUUAGAUAGUAGGCGGGGUAACGGCCCACCUAGUCUUCGAUGGAUAGGGGUUCUGAGAGGAAGGUCCCCCACAUUGGAACUGAGACACGGUCCAAACUCCUACGGGAGGCAGCAGUGAGGAAUAUUGGUCAAUGGGCGAGAGCCUGAACCAGCCAAGUAGCGUGAAGGAUGACUGCCCUAUGGGUUGUAAACUUCUUUUAUAAAGGAAUAAAGUCGGGUAUGCAUACCCGUUUGCAUGUACUUUAUGAAUAAGGAUCGGCUAACUCCGUGCCAGCAGCCGCGGUAAUACGGAGGAUCCGAGCGUUAUCCGGAUUUAUUGGGUUUAAAGGGAGCGUAGAUGGAUGUUUAAGUCAGUUGUGAAAGUUUGCGGCUCAACCGUAAAAUUGCAGUUGAUACUGGAUAUCUUGAGUGCAGUUGAGGCAGGCGGAAUUCGUGGUGUAGCGGUGAAAUGCUUAGAUAUCACGAAGAACUCCGAUUGCGAAGGCAGCCUGCUAAGCUGCAACUGACAUUGAGGCUCGAAAGUGUGGGUAUCAAACAGGAUUAGAUACCCUGGUAGUCCACACGGUAAACGAUGAAUACUCGCUGUUUGCGAUAUACAGCAAGCGGCCAAGCGAAAGCGUUAAGUAUUCCACCUGGGGAGUACGCCGGCAACGGUGAAACUCAAAGGAAUUGACGGGGGCCCGCACAAGCGGAGGAACAUGUGGUUUAAUUCGAUGAUACGCGAGGAACCUUACCCGGGCUUAAAUUGCAGAUGAAUUACAGUGAAAGCCGUAAGCCGCAAGGCAUCUGUGAAGGUGCUGCAUGGUUGUCGUCAGCUCGUGCCGUGAGGUGUCGGCUUAAGCGCCAUAACGAGCGCAACCCUUGUUGUCAGUUACUAACAGGUUCCGCUGAGGACUCUGACAAGACUGCCAUCGUAAGAUGUGAGGAAGGUGGGGAUGACGUCAAAUCAGCACGGCCCUUACGUCCGGGGCUACACACGUGUUACAAUGGGGGGUACAGAGGGCCGCUACCACGCGAGUGGAUGCCAAUCCCCAAAACCUCUCUCAGUUCGGACUGGAGUCUGCAACCCGACUCCACGAAGCUGGAUUCGCUAGUAAUCGCGCAUCAGCCACGGCGCGGUGAAUACGUUCCCGGGCCUUGUACACACCGCCCGUCAAGCCAUGGGAGCCGGGGGUACCUGAAGUGCGUAACCGCGAGGAGCGCCCUAGGGUAAAACUGG
rnacentral:rRNA from 1 species